UUUAUUGGAGAGUUUGAUCCUGGCUCAGGACGAACGCUGGCGGCGUGCCUAAUACAUGCAAGUCGAGCGGACUUU
rnacentral:rRNA from 1 species